GGAGAGGUGGCAGAGCGGUUGAAUGCGGCAGACUCGAAAUCUGUUUAAGCGAAAGCUUACGGGGGUUCGAAUCCCCCCCUCUCCG
rfam:Oscillatoriales cyanobacterium 'hensonii' Contig_32, whole genome shotgun sequence.